rnacentral:rRNA from 1 species
AGUGAACGCUGGCGGUAGGCCUAACACAUGCCAGUCGAACGGCAGCACAGUAAGCUCUUGCUCCUACUGGUGGCGACUGGCGGACGGGUGAGGCAUACAUCGGCAUCUUCUUUUUCGUGGGUGAUUACGUAGGACAGCUUACGCUACUACCUCAUAUGUCCUACGGCAUGGAUCAGGGGAUCUUCGCACCUUUCCUGUCUCUUUUAGCUGAUUUCGGGCUGCAUUAGCUAGUUGGUAAGGUAACGGCCUACCAAGGCGACGAUGCAUAGCCGAUCUGAGAGGAUGAUCGGCCACACUGGAACUGAGACACGGUCCAGACUCCUACGGGAGGCAGCAGUGGGGAAUAUUGGACAAUGGGCGCAAGCCUGACGGAGCAACGCCGCGUGAGUGAUGAAGGUCUUCGGAUCGUAAAGCCCUGUUGUUGGGGAAGAAAAGAUGCGGGAUAAUAUGCGGAUGUUCUGACGGUACCCAAAGAGAAAGCAACGGCUAACUUCGUG